rnacentral:rRNA from 1 species
CCUGAGCAAUCGGGAGAGUAAAGUGGCGCACGGGUGAGUAACGCGUGGGUAACCUACCCUUAAAUUGGGGAUAACUCCGCGAAAGCGGUGUUAAUACCGAAUAAUAUUCCAAUGCCUUUGGGAGUUGGAAUCAAAGGUGGCCUCAAGCUAUCAUUUAAGGAUGGGCCCGCGUACCAUUAGCUUGUUGGUAGGGUAAUGGCCUACCAAGGCAACGAUGGUUAGCUGGUCUGAGAGGAUGGCCAGCCACACUGGAACUGAGACACGGUCCAGACUCCUACGGGAGGCAGCAGUGGGGAAUCUUGCGCAAUGGGGGAAACCCUGACGCAGCAACGCCGCGUGGGUGAUGAAGGCCUUCGGGUCGUAAAGCCCUGUCAGGUGGGAAGAAACUUGCCGAUGUGAAUACCAUCGGCACUUGACGGUACCACCGGAGGAAGCACCGGCUAACUCCGUGCCAGCAGCCGCGGUAAUACGGAGGGUGCGAGCGUUGUUCGGAAUUAUUGGGCGUAAAGCGCGUGCAGGCGGUCGAGUAAGUCAGAUGUGAAAGCCUUCCGCUUAACGGAAGAAGUGCAUUUGAAACUGCUCGGCUGGAGUACGGGAGAGGAGAGUGGAAUUCCCGGUGUAGAGGUGAAAUUCGUAGAUAUCGGGAGGAACACCAGUGGCGAAGGCGGCUCUCUGGUCCGAUACUGACGCUGAGACGCGAAAGCGUGGGGAGCAAACAGGAUUAGAUACCCUGGUAGUCCACGCCGUAAACGAUGGGCACUAGGUGUAGGAGGUAUUGACCCCUUCUGUGCGAAGCUAACGCAUUAAGUGCCCCGCCUGGGGAGUACGGCCGCAAGGCUAAAACUCAAAGGAAUUGACGGGCCCGCACAAGCGGUGGAGCAUGUGGUUCAAUUCGACGCAACGCGAAGAACCUUACCUGGGCUUGACAUCCGCUGACCGUCCUGGAAACAGGAUCUUCUCCGCAAGGGGACAGCGAGACAGGUGCUGCAUGGCUGUCGUCAGCUCGUGUCGUGAGAUGUUGGGUUAAGUCCCGCAACGAGCGCAACCCUCAUCCUUAGUUGCCAUCAUUGAGUUGGGCACUCUAAGGAAACUGCCUCGGUUAACGGGGAGGAAGGUGGGGAUGACGUCAAGUCCUCAUGGCCUUUAUGUCCAGGGCUACACACGUGCUACAAUGGGCGGUACAAAGGGUUGCAAUCCCGCAAGGGGGAGCUAAUCUCAAAAAGCCGCUCUCAGUUCAGAUUGGAGUCUGCAACUCGACUCCAUGAAGGCGGAAUCGCUAGUAAUUGCGGAUCAGCAUGCCGCGGUGAAUACGUUCCCGGGCCUUGUACACACCGCCCGUCACACCAUGAGAGCUGACUGUACCAGAAG